CAGCAGCCGCGGUAAUACGGAGGGGGCUAGCGUUGUUCGGAAUUACUGGGCGUAAAGCGCACGUAGGCGGCUUUGUAAGUCAGAGGUGAAAGCCCGGGGCUCAACCCCGGAAUUGCCUUUGAGACUGCAUCGCUUGAAUCCAGGAGAGGUGAGUGGAAUUCCGAGUGUAGAGGUGAAAUUCGUAGAUAUUCGGAAGAACACCAGUGGCGAAGGCGGCUCACUGGACUGGUAUUGACGCUGAGGUGCGAAAGCGUGGGGAGCAAACAGGAUUAGAGACCCCAGUAGUCCCUGUCUCUUAUAC
rnacentral:rRNA from 1 species